GGAAGGAUCUCUGGUUGGAGAUCCCUCCCUUGUGGAGUUUCUAUUGCAAGCCUAGAUCUUCAGAGACAGGUGAGCACCCUGACUGGGCAGGAGGUUCGUAUGAUGCCUCGGGAGGAUGCUCAUGGCAUGGCUGAGGGCCACAGCCCUGCUGUUCCAAAGGAGGAACAACUUCUGCCGCCCAGGAGUGAAUGCUGGAGACCUCCCUUGUUACUGACGGGGACCCAUCAUCAAUGUCCCCACCAGAAUGUGGCAUCUGAGACAGCAGUCCUGUGUGAGCUCUGGGCACUGUUCUGACUGUUAAGAUUUUAUUUCACCACGACAGACCAAAGCUGUGUUUGAUAGAUGGCAACUGCAGCCAAUGGUCUACUGAGGGUCUUGGAUUUGCGGUGAAUGAGCAUCUACUGAUCAGCUCUUAUUGCCAUGGAGCAUGGAGCACUGUGGUCAUCUCCAGCAAUUUGGAACCUAAACAACACAUAAAACCUCCCUGACUGAUCUGGAGGCUACCCAGAUUAUUUUGGAUCACAGAAUGGAUGAUUUCUUCAGGGCUCUGACAGACAACGCUUGGCUCUCAGUGUUCUUAGAGCCCAGUCUUUGUACUGGGAGUGUGUCACUGGCAACAAAUGGCCCUUGGUGCUUACAGUAUCCCAACCCACCUCUGUAGCUUCACCUGGAGAUGCUGAGAACAGUUGUGUGAAUGGGGAGAAGAGAAAACAACUGCUGGAUCUGACAGGGCAUCACAUGUAGCUUUGGACUGAUGUCAGUAACCCAGAAGUUCUACUGCUGAGCUCAUCCCACAAGCUGAGCCCUGGUGGUCAGUUCCCUCCCCACCUCGAGCCCAUCACCCAGCCCCUGUACAGCCCCCUGUUUCUCCAUGCCUAGCAUGUCAUUAAGGACAACCCUGCUUCCUGCAGCAGGGAGGAGGGCUGCAUUACCACCAAUGGGGUGUCAGGCUCCCAGCAAGGUCUCAAGUUUCAGAUCCCCUCCUUUUGCCCGAUGCCCGAAGCACAGACAGGAAGCCAAACAUUCUUUCGUGAUCCAUUAUCCUCCAGCAAUUAAAGUUUAGGUCUGGGCACUUUCAAGUUCGAACUGCUGUGCCAUUCAAACAGUGCCCAACAGGGUUUGCUGCGAGGAGGAGGAGGAUGAAGACAGAAACAUCGCUCUGUUUGUGCUCCUGUCACAUUUCAGGCUCCACGAUCUCCUGGAAUUUAAAGUUACUCCGAAUGAACUCCCACCGAGAAUACCAUUGUAACGUUUCCAUAUCAGCAUCUUCUUAUCUUUCUGCGUUACGAUGAUGUCAUUCGUAAUUGCGCUUUCCGUUUUGAUGUUUAAACAAUGUGGCAUCGCCCUGGAAAUCGCUGCUGCUUGCUACGAAGUUCCCAAAAAGCCCCGAAUUUCCUUGGGGGAUGCAACAGGCGCUCUGCUGCCAGGAGAGGCGGGUUGUUACCAAUGGGAGUGUUUAAGGAUUGGGGCAUCAGCACCUCGCGGGAAAUCUUGCUUUUCCUCUCUCUCUCUCUUUCUCUUUCUCUCUUUUAACUUCUAUAGGAUGGAGAUGAACACCACCCAACCCGAAACGCCUCGAGCUCCCGAUCGGAGCGAAGCAUCGCGGCGAAGGUAGCAGCCAAUGGAAGCGGACCUGACUGGUUUUUAUCGUUAAUAUUGCGAAGCUCGGAAAGACUUUUUGGGAGCGGGCAGAGCCAUCGCUCCCUUCCGAACGAGCCGAAUUUUGGCAAACGGCGCCAGGUUUCCCUCCUUCAAUUUGA